UAAGGAAAUACUUGAGGCUGCAACAUGAUGAUGAAUCUCCUUGCAGCCAUAUGGACCCUGACGCCUUUGAUUCUGUCGGGCACUCUUGCUGCUGACUGGACAGUGCGUGUUCCUAUGGAUCCAGUCUAUGCUACUUCUGGUUCUUCUGUAGUUUUGGAGUGCACCUAUGACUACCCUGAAGAGUCUGACCAGGGAAUAGUGCGCAAAGUGCUGUCAGAGAUGUGGUGUCUGAAUGAAAGCCGCUGCAUUACUCCCAGAUACGUGUACCACAGUGCAGGGAUAUUCCCUGAGCCCUCAUACCAGGGCCGAGUCAAGUACUUGGGGCAGACAGGAAGCAAAAACUGCUCUCUGAUGAUAUCUGAUCUGAGGUCAGAAGACAGCGGCGUGUACGUGUUCCGGUUCAUCACCGACCACCUGAAAGCCAAGCUACCAGGACAGAGAGGAGUGAAUCUACAGGUCACACAUCAGAUAGAAACAAGAAAUGCAUCUUCAUUCACUACUGGCAUUGUGCGUGGAGUUGUUAUCAUGGUUAUCAUAAUAGCAGGCGUUGUGGUACUCAUCAGAUUCAAGUCACGGGGAGAGAGGUCAAGAUCACUUUAAACCAGCUAUUACCACAGAGGAUGAAAAAAAAUACUUUUGACUAAACAAAACAGAGGUGUAAACCAAUAGUUCUGCUUUUUUCUGUUUGUGUGUCACUUUUAAAUUCAUUUUAUGCAUUUCUGCAUCCAUAACAGUCUGUAUUAUUUAUCUAUUCAUAUUAUUUUCUGCAAAUAAAACAGUAUGUUUUAUUCUCA
ensembl:lncRNA